UUCUGCAGAACCCAGACAGCAUCACAGAGCCCCCUGCCUUCCCCAGGCACCUGGGUGGUACAGGAUGCAGCAGCCCUUCCUUGGUGGUGGUGGUGGCGGCGGGGUGCCUGUCGAGUCAAAUACCCCCGCCCCCCACUAAGCCAGGAGAGGAAGGAACAGAUAAAUCCUGGCCUGGCCUCUGAACCUCUGGUCCAGCUGAGAGGAGGAGGCUGUUGGCCGGAGCGUGGGCAGCUGUUUCCGGUGCUCGGCUAGGCAGAGGCAUAGCUGGGCCCACUCCUUGGUCAUCUCCAGAAGGUCCUGUGCCCAGGAGAGCAGGGUGACCCAGCAGAAAGAGCACAGGUUUUCAGGCCAGACAGUCCUGGAUUCCACUCCAGGCUUGGCUGUGUGACCUUGGGCAGGUUGCUUUAGUUCUCUGAUGCCCUUUUCCUGGUCUGUUGCUACAGGGACUAAAUGAGACAGAAUGUGCAAACAAAGCACAGGCACAAGGGCUGGUGGGCAGACCGUGAACUCCUAGAAGCCAGGGACAGUCUUCUUUGGUCCAGCACCUGACACUCAGGAGGAGCUCAAUAAAUGUGCGUGCAAUUGAAUGAAUGAAUUUCAUGGGAGGCCAGGUGGGGAAAAAGUUGAUUCCAGCUGGAAAGAAUGGAUUACAGCCUUUAAGAAGAUGGUGUGUGUGGGCUUUUGAGCUGGAUGUUGAUGACAGCAUGGAGAACCACAGAGAACAGUCUCUCAGGAGAAGAUUUAAGGAUCUAUUUUCUGUCACAGGGGAAUGUCAAUUUAGGGAGAAAGUUGGUUUAUUUAAUAAAAGAUGCUGCCAUAUCAGUGAUCCAUCUGGAAGAAAAUAAAGUCAAAUCCUCCACUCCUACCUGACACCACCUGCAUGAUAGAUCCCCAAUGGAUUAAAGUUUUAGAGUGAAAAAUAAGAGCUAAAAAUAUUAGAAGAAAAUUCAGAAGAAUAAUUAUUGAAACUUGUGGGGGCAGGAAACCCAGAAGCCAUACAAAAGAAAGAUUCGGUUAUGGAAAAAAAGAUUUCUGAGUGAUGUAAGUUCCCAUAAAUAAAAUAAAAUAGCCAACAACAACA